GACAGAGGGUGCAAACGUUGUUCGGAAUUACUGGGCGUAAAGCGCGUGUAGGCGGCCCUGCAAGUCGGAUGUGAAAUCCCACGGCUCAACCGUGGAAGUGCAUUCGAAACUGCAGGGCUAGAGUCCUGGAGAGGAAGGUGGAAUGCUUGGUGUAGAGGUGAAAUUCGUAGAUAUCAAGCGGAACACCGGUGGCGAAGGCGGGUCUCUGGGCCGUAACUGACGCUGAGGAGCGAAAGCGUGGGGAGCGAACAGG
rnacentral:rRNA from 1 species